GUAAAAAGUAGAAUAAUAGAUUUGAAAUAUUUAUUAUAUAGAUUUAAAGAGAUAAUCAUGGAGUAUAAUAAUUAAAUUUAAUAAAUUUAAUAUAACUAUUAAUAGAAUUAGGUUACUAAUAAAUUAAUAACAAUUAAUUUUAAAACCUAAAGGUAAACCUUUAUAUUAAUAAUGUUUUUUUUUAUUAUUUUUAUAAUAAGAAUAAUUAUUAAUAAUAAUAAACUAAGUGAACUGAAACAUCUAAGUAACUUAAGGAUAAGAAAUCAACAGAGAUAUUAUGAGUAUUGGUGAGAGAAAAUAAUAAAGGUCUAAUAAGUAUUAUGUGAAAAAAAUGUAAGAAAAUAGGAUAACAAAUUCUAAGACUAAAUACUAUUAAUAAGUAUAGUAAGUACCGUAAGGGAAAGUAUGAAAAUGAUUAUUUUAUAAGCAAUCAUGAAUAUAUUAUAUUAUAUUAAUGAUGUACCUUUUGUAUAAUGGGUCAGCAAGUAAUUAAUAUUAGUAAAACAAUAAGUUAUAAAUAAAUAGAAUAAUAUAUAUAUAUAAAAAAAUAUAUUAAAAUAUUUAAUUAAUAUUAAUUGACCCGAAAGCAAACGAUCUAACUAUGAUAAGAUGGAUAAACGAUCGAACAGGUUGAUGUUGCAAUAUCAUCUGAUUAAUUGUGGUUAGUAGUGAAAGACAAAUCUGGUUUGCAGAUAGCUGGUUUUCUAUGAAAUAUAUGUAAGUAUAGCCUUUAUAAAUAAUAAUUAUUAUAUAAUAUUAUAUUAAUAUUAUAUAAAGAAUGGUACAGCAAUUAAUAUAUAUUAGGGAACUAUUAAAGUUUUAUUAAUAAUAUUAAAUCUCGAAAUAUUUAAUUAUAUAUAAUAAAGAGUCAGAUUAUGUGCGAUAAGGUAAAUAAUCUAAAGGGAAACAGCCCAGAUUAAGAUAUAAAGUUCCUAAUAAAUAAUAAGUGAAAUAAAUAUUAAAAUAUUAUAAUAUAAUCAGUUAAUGGGUUUGACAAUAACCAUUUUUUAAUGAACAUGUAACAAUGCACUGAUUUAUAAUAAAUAAAAAAAAAAUAAUAUUUAAAAUCAAAUAUAUAUAUAUAUAUUUGUUAAUAGAUAAUAUACGGAUCUUAAUAAUAAGAAUUAUUUAAUUCCUAAUAUGGAAUAUUAUAUUUUUAUAAUAAAAAUAUAAAUACUGAAUAUCUAAAUAUUAUUAUUACUUUUUUUUUUAAUAAUAAUAAUAUGGUAAUAGAACAUUUAAUGAUAAUAUAUAUUAGUUAUUAAUUAAUAUAUGUAUUAAUUAAAUAGAGAAUGCUGACAUGAGUAACGAAAAAAAGGUAUAAACCUUUUCACCUAAAACAUAAGGUUUAACUAUAAAAGUACGGCCCCUAAUUAAAUUAAUAAGAAUAUAAAUAUAUUUAAGAUGGGAUAAUCUAUAUUAAUAAAAAUUUUAUCUUAAAAUAUAUAUAUUAUUAAUAAUUAUAUUAAUAAUAUAUAUAAUUAUAUUAUAUAUUUUUUUUAUAUAAUAUAAACUAAUAAAGAUCAGGAAAUAAUUAAUGUAUACCGUAAUGUAGACCGACUCAGGUAUGUAAGUAGAGAAUAUGAAGGUGAAUUAGAUAAUUAAAGGGAAGGAACUCGGCAAAGAUAGCUCAUAAGUUAGUCAAUAAAGAGUAAUAAGAACAAAGUUGUACAACUGUUUACUAAAAACACCGCACUUUGCAGAAACGAUAAGUUUAAGUAUAAGGUGUGAACUCUGCUCCAUGCUUAAUAUAUAAAUAAAAUUAUUUAACGAUAAUUUAAUUAAAUUUAGGUAAAUAGCAGCCUUAUUAUGAGGGUUAUAAUGUAGCGAAAUUCCUUGGCCUAUAAUUGAGGUCCCGCAUGAAUGACGUAAUGAUACAACAACUGUCUCCCCUUUAAGCUAAGUGAAAUUGAAAUCGUAGUGAAGAUGCUAUGUACCUUCAGCAAGACGGAAAGACCCUAUGCAGCUUUACUGUAAUUAGAUAGAUCGAAUUAUUGUUUAUUAUAUUCAGCAUAUUAAGUAAUCCUAUUAUUAGGUAAUCGUUUAGAUAUUAAUGAGAUACUUAUUAUAAUAUAAUGAUAAUUCUAAUCUUAUAAAUAAUUAUUAUUAUUAUUAAUAAUAAUAAUAAUAUGCUUUCAAGCAUAGUGAUAAAACAUAUUUAUAUGAUAAUCACUUUACUUAAUAGAUAUAAUUCUUAAGUAAUAUAUAAUAUAUAUUAUAUAUAUAUUAUAUAUAAUAUAAGAGACAAUCUCUAAUUGGUAGUUUUGAUGGGGCGUCAUUAUCAGCAAAAGUAUCUGAAUAAGUCCAUAAAUAAAUAUAUAAAAUUAUUGAAUAAAAAAAAUAAUAUAUAUUAUAUAUAUUAAUUAUAAAUUGAAAUAUGUUUAUAUAAAUUUAUAUUUAUUGAAUAUAUUUUAGUAAUAGAUAAAAAUAUGUACAGUAAAAUUGUAAGGAAAACAAUAAUAACUUUCUCCUCUCUCGGUGGGGGUUCACACCUAUUUUUAAUAGGUGUUCACCCCUCUUCGGGGUUCCGGUUCCCUUUCGGGUCCCGGAACUUAAAAAUAAUUAUGGAAAGAAUUAAAUUAAUAUAAUGGUAUAACUGUGCGAUAAUUGUAACACAAACGAGUGAAACAAGUACGUAAGUAUGGCAUAAUGAACAAAUAACACUGAUUGUAAAGGUUAUUGAUAACGAAUAAAAGUUACGCUAGGGAUAACAGGGUAAUAUAACGAAAGAGUAGAUAUUGUAAGUUAUGUUUGCCACCUCGAUGUCGACUCAACAUUUCCUCUUGGUUGUAAAAGCUAAGAAGGGUUUGACUGUUCGUCAAUUAAAAUGUUACGUGAGUUGGGUUAAAUACGAUGUGAAUCAGUAUGGUUCCUAUCUGCUGAAGGAAAUAUUAUCAAAUUAAAUCUCAUUAUUAGUACGCAAGGACCAUAAUGAAUCAACCCAUGGUGUAUCUAUUGAUAAUAAUAUAAUAUAUUUAAUAAAAAUAAUACUUUAUUAAUAUAUUAUCUAUAUUAGUUUAUAUUUUAAUUAUAUAUUAUCAUAGUAGAUAAGCUAAGUUGAUAAUAAAUAAAUAUUGAAUACAUAUUAAAUAUGAAGUUGUUUUAAUAAGAUAAUUAAUCUGAUAAUUUUAUACUAAAAUUAAUAAUUAUAGGUUUUAUAUAUUAUUUAUAAAUAAAUAUAUUAUAAUAAUAAUAAUUAUUAUUAUUAAUAAAAAAUAUUAAUUAUAAUAUUAAUAAAAUACUAAUUUAUCAGUUAUCUAUAUAAUAUCUAAUCUAUUAUUCUAUAUACU
rnacentral:rRNA from 1 species